GUGAGGAAUUUUCCGCAAUGGGCGAAAGCCUGACGGAGCAAUGCCGCGUGAAGGAUGACGGCCUAUGGGUUGUAAACUUCUUUUCUCAGAAAAGAAUUAUGACGGUAUCUGAGGAAUAAGCAUCGGCUAACUCUGUGCCAGCAGCCGCGGUAAGACAGAGGAUGCAAGCGUUAUCAGGAAUGAUUGGGCGUAAAGCGUCUGUAGGUUGUUUAAAAAGUAUUCUGUCAAAGAUUAGGGCUUAACCCUAGAUAGGCAGAAUAAACUUUUAAGCUAGAGUGUGGUAGAGGCAGAGUGAAUUCCCGGUGGAGCGGUGAAAUGCGUAGAUAUCGGGAGGAACACCAAAGGCGAAGGCACUCUGCUGGGCCAAUACUAACACUGAGAGACGAAAGCGAGGGGAGCAAAUGGGAUUAGAAACCCUAGUAGUCC
rnacentral:rRNA from 1 species